GGGUUUAAUCAAAAACUCUCUCAUUUUCUCAAACAAAUCUCUCUAAAAAUCUCUCUCUCAAGUAAAACUCUCACUGAUGUCUCUAUUUCUAUUAUCCUUGUUCUCACUCGCAAUAAUUUGUACUCACUAACCUGGAUUUACCUUUUGUUUUGUUUUAGAUGCGUUGAUUUUUACAUGAACUCUCUCGCAAGACUUGUUUGGAGAUUUGCUUUGAACCUAGCACCACUUCUUGUGGACCCAGUUUCCGUAAGAAAUGCUUAAGAUCUGCCCCUAAUAAAUGCGGGAAGAAAUGUCCAAAAUGCAAACAGCUAAUAAG